rnacentral:lncRNA from 1 species
CGGCGGUUCAUGGAGGGUCUCACGGAAUAAAUCGAGAUCACAUGCUCAUGCAAUAUCAAAAAUACUAUCUGGUUGUGGGGCAUCCACUAUGACAUAAUUAAGCAAAUCUUAUCAAUUAAAUGAGCUAGUUGUAAUCUGCUCGUGUUCAACUUGAUGGUCAUUGAUCAGUACUGAUUGGUCAUCUCAUGCUUGAGCAAUGACUGGACUCCUUUAAUUUUCA